AAAGCUUUAAGUUAAAUAAACUAUUAACCUUCAAAGUUAAAAACACAAUCAUAUAGUAAGCUUUA
rnacentral:tRNA from 1 species